rnacentral:lncRNA from 1 species
GCAAUAAUAAAUAACUAAAUUAAACUCAAUUAAAUUAUGGAUGCAGUAACUAAUAAGUAGGAAGAAUAUAAUCAAAAUCAAAUCUAUAUUACCCUAAAUAAAACUCAACUAAACCAUGGAUGUAAUAAUUAAUAAGUAGAAAGAAAAAAAAUCAAACUCCAUUAUAUAUUAUAUUCAAUCAACCUCGUUAAUUAAAACAACGGAUCUACUAAAUAAUAGGUAGGAAAAAUAUAAUCAAAAGUAAUUCUAUAUUGCAUUAAAAUGAUAAACAUAGCAUUGUAGUGGUUAUAAUAUGACCAUAGAAUUUUAUUUAUAAAAAUAAUCCAUCUCUAAUUAUUUUCUCUCUCUUCCCU